GGGUUGUGAGGUUAAGCGACUAAGCGUACACGGUGGAUGCCCUGGCAGUCAGAGGCGAUGAAGGACGUGCUAAUCUGCGAUAAGCGUCGGUGAGGUGAUAUGAACCGUUAUAACCGGCGAUUUCCGAAUGGGGAAACCCAGUGUGUUUCGACACACUAUCAUUAACUGAAUCCAUAGGUUAAUGAGGCGAACCGGGGGAACUGAAACAUCUAAGUACCCCGAGGAAAAGAAAUCAACCGAGAUUCCCCCAGUAGCGGCGAGCGAACGGGGAGGAGCCCAGAGCCUGAAUCAGUGUGUGUGUUAGUGGAAGCGUCUGGAAAGGCGUGCGAUACAGGGUGACAGCCCCGUACACAAAAAUGCACAUAUUGUGAGCUCGAUGAGUAGGGCGGGACACGUGGUAUCCUGUCUGAAUAUGGGGGGACCAUCCUCCAAGGCUAAAUACUCCUGACUGACCGAUAGUGAACCAGUACCGUGAGGGAAAGGCGAAAAGAACCCCGGCGAGGGGAGUGAAAAAGAACCUGAAACCGUGUACGUACAAGCAGUGGGAGCCUCUUAAUGGGGUGACUGCGUACCUUUUGUAUAAUGGGUCAGCGACUUAUAUUCUGUAGCAAGGUUAACCGAAUAGGGGAGCCGAAGGGAAACCGAGUCUUAACUGGGCGUUAAGUUGCAGGGUAUAGACCCGAAACCCGGUGAUCUAGCCAUGGGCAGGUUGAAGGUUGGGUAACACUAACUGGAGGACCGAACCGACUAAUGUUGAAAAAUUAGCGGAUGACUUGUGGCUGGGGGUGAAAGGCCAAUCAAACCGGGAGAUAGCUGGUUCUCCCCGAAAGCUAUUUAGGUAGCGCCUCGUGAAUUCAUCUCCGGGGGUAGAGCACUGUUUCGGCAAGGGGGUCAUCCCGACUUACCAACCCGAUGCAAACUGCGAAUACCGGAGAAUGUUAUCACGGGAGACACACGGCGGGUGCUAACGUCCGUCGUGAAGAGGGAAACAACCCAGACCGCCAGCUAAGGUCCCAAAGUCAUGGUUAAGUGGGAAACGAUGUGGGAAGGCCCAGACAGCCAGGAUGUUGGCUUAGAAGCAGCCAUCAUUUAAAGAAAGCGUAAUAGCUCACUGGUCGAGUCGGCCUGCGCGGAAGAUGUAACGGGGCUAAACCAUGCACCGAAGCUGCGGCAGCGACACUAUGUGUUGUUGGGUAGGGGAGCGUUCUGUAAGCCUGUGAAGGUGGCCUGUGAGGGUUGCUGGAGGUAUCAGAAGUGCGAAUGCUGACAUAAGUAACGAUAAAGCGGGUGAAAAGCCCGCUCGCCGGAAGACCAAGGGUUCCUGUCCAACGUUAAUCGGGGCAGGGUGAGUCGACCCCUAAGGCGAGGCCGAAAGGCGUAGUCGAUGGGAAACAGGUUAAUAUUCCUGUACUUGGUGUUACUGCGAAGGGGGGACGGAGAAGGCUAUGUUGGCCGGGCGACGGUUGUCCCGGUUUAAGCGUGUAGGCUGGUUUUCCAGGCAAAUCCGGAAAACCAAGGCUGAGGCGUGAUGACGAGGCACUACGGUGCUGAAGCGACAAAUGCCCUGCUUCCAGGAAAAGCCUCUAAGCAUCAGGUAACAUCAAAUCGUACCCAAAACCGACACAGGUGGUCAGGUAGAGAAUACCAAGGCGCUUGAGAGAACUCGGGUGAAGGAACUAGGCAAAAUGGUGCCGUAACUUCGGGAGAAGGCACGCUGAUAUGUAGGUGAAGCGACUUGCUCGUGGAGCUGAAAUCAGUCGAAGAUACCAGCUGGCUGCAACUGUUUAUUAAAAACACAGCACUGUGCAAACACGAAAGUGGACGUAUACGGUGUGACGCCUGCCCGGUGCCGGAAGGUUAAUUGAUGGGGUUAGCGGCAACGCGAAGCUCUUGAUCGAAGCCCCGGUAAACGGCGGCCGUAACUAUAACGGUCCUAAGGUAGCGAAAUUCCUUGUCGGGUAAGUUCCGACCUGCACGAAUGGCGUAAUGAUGGCCAGGCUGUCUCCACCCGAGACUCAGUGAAAUUGAACUCGCUGUGAAGAUGCAGUGUACCCGCGGCAAGACGGAAAGACCCCGUGAACCUUUACUAUAGCUUGACACUGAACAUUGAGCCUUGAUGUGUAGGAUAGGUGGGAGGCUUUGAAGUGUGGACGCCAGUCUGCAUGGAGCCGACCUUGAAAUACCACCCUUUAAUGUUUGAUGUUCUAACGUUGGCCCGUAAUCCGGGUUGCGGACAGUGUCUGGUGGGUAGUUUGACUGGGGCGGUCUCCUCCUAAAGAGUAACGGAGGAGCACGAAGGUUGGCUAAUCCUGGUCGGACAUCAGGAGGUUAGUGCAAUGGCAUAAGCCAGCUUGACUGCUAGCGUGACGGCGCGAGCAGGUGCGAAAGCAGGUC
rnacentral:rRNA from 1 species